AUUGAACGCUAGCGGGAGGCCUUACACAUGCAAGUCGAACGAGUGGCGGACGGGUGAGUAAUGUCUGGGAAACUGCCUGAUGGAGGGGGAUAACUACUGGAAACGGUAGCUAAUACCGCCUACCAUCGGAUGUGCCCAGAUGGGAUUAGCUAGUAGGUGGGGUAAAGGCUCACCUAGGCGACGAUCCCGAGCUGGUCUGAGAGGAUGACCCACCACCCUUGGACUGGGGCACGGUCCAGGACCCUUCGGGAGGGAGCGGGUGGGAAUAUUGCGCAAAGGGCGGAAACCUGAUUCCACCAUGCCGCGGGUAAGAAGAAGGCCUUCGGGGUUUAAAGUACUUUCAGCGGGAAGGCGGUACCCGCAGGAGUAGCACCGGCUAACUCCGGUCCAGCCGCCGCGGUAAUUC
rnacentral:rRNA from 1 species